GAUGAACGCUGGCGGCGUGCCUAAUACAUGCAAGUCGAGCGAACGGACGAGAAGCUUGCUUCUCUGAUGUUAGCGGCGGACGGGUGAGUAACACGUGGAUAACCUACCUAUAAGACUGGGAUAACUUCGGGAAACCGGAGCUAAUACCGGAUGAUAUUUUGAACCGCAUGGUUCAAAAGUGAAAGACGGUCUUGCUGUCACUUAUAGAUGGAUCCGCGCUGCAUUAGAUAGUUGGUAAGGUAACGGCUUACCAAGGCAACGAUGCAUAGCCGACCUGCGAGGGGGGUCGGCCACACUGGAACUGGGACGCGGUCCAGACUCCUACGGGAGGCAGCAGUAGGGUAUCUUCCGCAGUGGGCGAAAGCCUGACGGAGCAACGCCGCGUGAGUGAUGAAGGUCUUCGGAUCGUAAAACUCUGUUAUUAGGGAAGAACAUAUGUGUAAGUAACUGUGCACAUCUUGACGGUACCUAAUCAGAAAGCCACGGCUAACUACGUG
rnacentral:rRNA from 1 species